AGAUGAUUCCAAAUUUGGUAGAAUUGAAUAUUGAGCUUCAGGGUAUAGACCAUUUGUCAAAAGAAAAUGUGUCCUAUUUGGUCAUAACUUUAUAACUGGUUGCACACUAUCAUUAGUAAAGCUAGGAAACAUAACGAUGGUGAUUUCCUAAUAAAAGAACCAUGGAAUGUAAGUGUGCAUGUCACCAAGCACAAUAAGAGAUUCCUCACUCAUUAAUGGCAAUAAUCUAAGCUAAAAAUUUAGAACAGUGUCAUGUUAAUCAUCAAGUAGAUGAUAAUCACCAAGCACAAUCAGAAGUAUGUUUAUGGCAACUUGUUUGCACUCACCUUAGAUGAUAAUCACAUGAUAUAAUGAAGUGGAUUCAUAAGCUUGUCCUUACUAACUAAACCAGUCCACCCCAAACCAGAACCAAAUUCACCUCCAUGUGAAGCCAAUACAGCUGUGUGCUGGAUACCCAAGCAACAACAAGCUAUGCCUCCUCC
rnacentral:lncRNA from 1 species